AAUAGAUACCCGGGUAGUCCACGCCGUAAACGAUGUCGACUUGGAGGUUGUUCCCUUGAGGAGUGGCUUCCGGAGCUAACGCGUUAAGUCGACCGCCUGGGGAGUACGGCCGCAAGGUUAAAACUCAAAUGAAUUGACGGGGGCCCGCACAAGCGGUGGAGCAUGUGGUUUAAUUCGAUGCAACGCGAAGAACCUUACCUACUCUUGACAUCCAGAGAACUUUCCAGAGAUGGAUUGGUGCCUUCGGGAACUCUGAGACAGGUGCUGCAUGGCUGUCGUCAGCUCGUGUUGUGAAAUGUUGGGUUAAGUCCCGCAACGAGCGCAACCCUUAUCCUUUGUUGCCAGCGGUUCGGCCGGGAACUCAAAGGAGACUGCCAGUGAUAAACUGGAGGAAGGUGGGGAUGACGUCAAGUCAUCAUGGCCCUUACGAGUAGGGCUACACACGUGCUACAAUGGCAUAUACAAAGAGAAGCGACCUCGCGAGAGCAAGCGGACCUCAUAAAGUAUGUCGUAGUCCGGAUUGGAGU
rnacentral:rRNA from 1 species